CUUAACCCUCAUCUGUCAGAGCCUGUCUCUCUCACACGCCUCCCUCUCCUUCUAACCCUCAGAAAGCAACGGACCCAGUGUGAAAACACCUUAAGAAACUCUUUUGAUGGGCACCGGAAGGUUACGCUGGACCGCGGAAGCUGUCGAGUGCGCGCCGGUGUCUGGCCACUUCGAGAGAGCAGUGUUCAUGCAGGAUUUGGUGAACCAGCAGCCCUUUCUUGGUGUCCAUCCGACUAGUUCACUGAUGUGCUAGGCAGCCAUUAAGGCAAUCAAGGGGCGGUGACAACUGAAAGGUGAUUUCAGAGGAGGUGGGUAUUUUAAAAAGCUGUUUUCUGUACUACGCUCCAUGAAGGAGGUGUCAUGCAGCCCUAACAAAGUAUAUCACAUAUGCAAUUUAAUCAUGAUUAAAUCAUUCGUUUUUAUACUGCGUCACAAUAUAAAUGUUUGUGUUAACCCAAGUAUUGAAAGGCCUUUUUAAUACUUUUCUGUUCAAGGGCAAAGGGUUCAGUCUGUAAUGCAUUAAGUUGGUUGCCAUAUGAUAAUAUUUUGGCUUUUAAUCAUAUAAUCAAUGAAGAUCAAAAUUUGUGAAAAUUUCAACAGUGUCAAUGUUUUGUCUUGUACACCAAGUUGUGCGUCAGACUUCGGGCAAGUUAAGUAAAAGAUACGAAGUAGUCAGGACCCGAGUGGGACUGAAUUUGUGACCGGGAGUUCGAGCCCCUAGACAGCCCAAUAAAUAUCUAAACAAUCACACUAUUGUUUAUGUUUCUAUUCAGAUAUAAGUAAUAUAGUGUUAAAGCCUGGCACAGCUUUGAUAGA